rnacentral:rRNA from 1 species
UACGUAGGGGGCAAGCGUUAUCCGGAUUCAUUGGGCGUAAAGCGCGCGCAGGCGGGUUGCUAAGCGGGACCUCUAAUCUCAGGGCUCAACCUUGAGCCGGGUCCCGAACUGGCAGCCUCGGGUUCGGUAGGGGAGAUCGGAAUUCCCGGUGUAGCGGUGGAAUGCGCAGAUAUCGGGAAGAACACCGAUGGCGAAGGCAGAUCUCUGGGCCGCAACCGACGCUGAGGCGCGAAAGCUAGGGGAGCGAACAG